rnacentral:rRNA from 1 species
GACGAACGCUGGCGGCGUGCUUAACACAUGCAAGUCGAACGGUGACCCAGGGCUUGCCCUGGUGAUCAGUGGCGAACGGGUGAGUAACACGUGGGCAACCUGCCCCCUGACUUCGGGAUAACUCCUCGAAAGAGGAGCUAAUACCGGAUACGACCACUUCGGACAUCCGAUGGUGGUGGAAAGUUUUUCGGUCAGGGAUGGGCCCGCGGCCUAUCAGCUAGUUGGUGGGGUAAUGGCCUACCAAGGCGACGACGGGUAGCCGGCCUGAGAGGGCGACCGGCCACACUGGGACUGAGACACGGCCCAGACUCCUACGGGAGGCAGCAGUGGGGAAUAUUGCGCAAUGGGCGAAAGCCUGACGCAGCGACGCCGCGUGAGGGAUGAAGGCCUUCGGUUGUAAACCUACUUUCUAGCAGGGACGAAGCGAAAGUAGACGGUACCUGCAGAAGAAGCACCGGCUAACUACGUGCCAGCAGCGCGGUAA